UCCGUGUUAACACGUCCAAUUUGAACGUCUUAAGACGGCAAAUCUUACCGUGUUAACACGUUACUUUUGGACGUCUUAACACGUAACAACGUCUUAAGACGGCAAAAUGUGCCGCGUUAACACGUAACUUUAAAAUUGGGUGCUACCACUGCACUCACAUCUGAGGGGGGGAAUCCAAACACUGCAAAAAAGCCCCUCCAAAGACCCACCCUGACCUCGCCCCCAUUCUUUGGCGCGCAACGCUGACCGUAGCACCUGUGAUGCUCCUUUUGUUUGUGUUUCAAGAUCUGGCAACCCUGGCCGCAGCGUUGGCGCAGAAGAAAUGAAUCAGCAGAGGCUUCAAGCAAUAGCUGAUCGAUUUCAACAGCUUGUUAAUCGAGCAUCUGCAACUGAAGGCAGGCCUUCCACUUCUGGGACAAUGGUCGACAGCGGGAUCAACAGUGAAAAAAGUUGUAGUGCCACUCUCCAUGCCAGAAGCUGCUUUUAUUGAAAAAAUAAGAGAAGAAUUUCCUGCUGUACAAGGUGACUUUUGCCUUUUCAGAGUUGACAGACAGAGGAGAAUCCACCGACUGGAGCUUACUUCAGUCUGUCCGGCUGCUAUAAAAGCCUGUUCUGUGCUAAGAAGAUCAGAAAAAUGGUAUGAUACUGUCACUUGAGUCAAAUUCCAGGGCAUUUUAAAUGCUUUAUAAUUAAAUGAAACAUGCAGUUUAAAAUACUAUGCUUACUUUGUUUUUUGUUUUAGUGUAGAAAGAACUAACCUAAUUUCAUGUUUUUGUCAAAUUCAUUUAAUUUUUAAUACACACCAUUUCUGCACCUCAACUCUGCAACACAUUUUAAAAACGAUAGGGACACUAAAAAAAAUUGUCACCUUGCUUGUUGAGGGUAAUAGUUAUUUCAGGCCAUUGCAGAAGGCAUUGUACUAAAAUGAUCAGGCUAUACAUUGUACAUUGAGAAGAGGUGGUGCAUGUGAAUGUCUUGUUUAAAUCAAUAAUAUGGGUCUCCCAGAAGUGGCAAAAAAAUCCAGUUUACUGGAAAUUCCUGUCAGAACUGCGGCCAAAACAUGAAACUGACUGACAGGGUCCAUUAGUGAGUUUUAAGCUUGCUACAUGGUAUGCAUUUCUCUACAGUGUUCUUUCAGAAAUUGGUUGUGAAGGAUCUGCAUUUACUUCUUGAAGCAAUUAUUGCCUGGAAGUACAGCAGUUUUGGUCCACAAGCCGUUAAAUCUGUCAGUAGUCCCUGUCCAUCAGUUUGGUGUUUUGGCCACAGACCUGACCAAAAUUCCCUGCAGAUUGGGAUUUUUGCCACUGCAUCAUGCCAUACUCUACAUCUGCUUUGUGAACUAUUUUACACACAUCAUAUAAGAUGCAUUGUACACUGUACUGCCUCUUUUCAAUCUACAAAACCUCACACCUGCAGGCAUUUAAAUUUGUCCUCAUAUAAUUUUAUCUACAAAAUCCUGAAUUUACUGCCACCUUAAACAUACAAGAUGAAUGAUCUUUUUUGUUUGACCUUAUUAACCACUUUGUAAUGGUGCUAAUUGUUAUCACAACACUUAAAUGAUGUCUUUGUACCUGAGGAUAAAAGUAGUGAAAUUGUUUCAUGUGUUGUACUGUCCCAUUCUUUCUGCAAACACCUCCUAAUGUGUGCAACAUUGUCUGAUGGG